CGUGGGCCACCCCUCCCCACCGAGGGGCUUACUAUCUGGAAGGAUAGAC
rnacentral:ncRNA from 1 species